CCUACGGGUGGCUGCAGUGGGGAAUAUUGGACAAUGGGGGCAACCCUGAUCCAGCCAUGCCGCGUGUGUGAAGAAGGCCCUCGGGUUGUAAAGCACUUUCAGUGAGGAAGAACGCCUGGUGGUUAAUACCCAUCAGGAAAGACAUCACUCACAGAAGAAGCACCGGCUAACUCCGUGCCAGCAGCCGCGGUAAUACGGAGGGUGCGAGCGUUAAUCGGAAUUACUGGGCGUAAAGCGCGCGUAGGUGGCUUGAUAAGCCGGUUGUGAAAGCCCCGGGCUCAACCUGGGAACGGCAUCCGGAACUGUCAAGCUAGAGUGCAGGAGAGGAAGGUAGAAUUCCCGGUGUAGCGGUGAAAUGCGUAGAGAUCGGGAGGAAUACCAGUGGCGAAGGCGGCCUUCUGGACUGAUACUGACACUGAGGUGCGAAAGCGUGGGUAGCAAACAGGAUUAGAUACCCUGGUAGUC
rnacentral:rRNA from 1 species